CUGGUUGAUCCUGCCAGUAGUCAUAUGCUUGUCUCAAAGAUUAAGCCAUGCAUGUCUAAGUACAAGCCUCACUAAGGUGAAACCGCGAAUGGCUCAUUAAAUCACACCUAAUGUACUGGACAGUCUCAGUUACUUGGAUAACUGCGGUAAUUCUGGAGCUAAUACAUGCGUACUAGCCGCGACUCACGGAGCGGUGCUUUUAUUAGAUCAAAACCAAACGGCCUCGAGCCGUCCCCCUGGUGAUUCUGAAUAACUUUGGGCUGAUCGCACGGACUCGUUCCGGCGACGUGUCCUUCCAAGGUGUGCCCUAUCAACUGUCGACUGUGGCAUAGACGCCCACAGUGGUUUUGACGGGUAACGGGGAAUUAGGGUUCGAUUCCGGAGAGGGAGCCUGAGAAACGGCUACCACUUCUACGGAAGGCAGCAGGCACGCAAAUUACCCACUGGCCGAAGGCCGAGGUAGUGACGAAAAAUAACGAUACCGGACUCAUCCGAGGCCCGGUAAUCGGAAUGAGUACACUUUAAAUCCUUUAACGAGGAACAAUUGGAGGGCAAGUCUGG
rnacentral:rRNA from 1 species